rnacentral:rRNA from 1 species
CCCUUAGAGUUUGAUCCUGGNNNNNGAUGAACGCUGGCGGCGUGUCUAAGGCAUGCAANUCGAGUGGGUUUAGACCCACGGCAAACGGGUGCGUAACACAUUGGUAACUUAUCCCGAAGUCAUGAAUAAGCCUGCGAAAGCGGGUCUAAUACAUGAUGGAAGCGAGGGGACAAAAGUCAUUCUCGCUUAAAGCUUGUCCUGCAAAGGAACUUGCGCUUCGGGAAAGGCCUAUGGCUUAUCAGCUUGUUGGCGAGGUAACGGCUCACCAAGGCAAUGACGAGUAGCGGGUGUGAGAGCAUGGCCCGCCUCACUGGGACUGAGACACUGCCCAGACUCCUACGGGAGGCUGCAGUCGAGAAUAUUCCCCAAUGGCCGAAAGGCUGAGGGAGCGACGCCGCGUGUAUGAAGACGCCCUUCGGGGUGUAAAGUACUUUUAACCGGGACGAAACAAUGACGGUACCGGUUGAAUAAGGGGCUGCUAAACUCGUGCCAGCAGCAGCGGUAAUACGAGUGCCCCAAGCGUUAUCCGGAUUUAUUGGGCGUAAAGCGUACGUAGGCGGUUUAUCGCAUCUCCUGUUAAAUCUCGAGGCUCAACCUCGAGGCCGCGGGAGAGAUGGCUAAACUAGAGACCGGGAGAGGCAAGUGGAAUUGCUGGUGUAGGGGUUAAAUCCGUUAAUAUCAGCAAGAACACCUAAUGUGANNACAGCUUGCUAGAACGGUUCUGACGCUAAGGUACGAAAGCGUGGGGAGCGAAUGGGAUUAGAUACCCCAGUA